UAAGGAAUAUUGGUCAAUGGGGGCAACCCUGAACCAGCCAUGCCGCGUGCAGGACGACUGCCCUAUGGGUUGUAAACUGCUUUUGUUAGGGAAUAAACCCCGCUACGUGUAGCGGGCUGAAUGUACCUAAAGAAUAAGGAUCGGCUAACUCCGUGCCAGCAGCCGCGGUAAUACGGGGGGAUCCGAGCGUUAUCCGGAUUUAUUGGGUUUAAAGGGUGCGUAGGCGGCACUUUAAGUCAGGGGUGAAAGACGGCAGCUCAACUGUCGCAGUGCCCUUGAUACUGAAGUGCUUGAAUGCGGUUGAAGACGGCGGAAUGAGACAAGUAGCGGUGAAAUGCAUAGAUAUGUCUCAGAACACCGAUUGCGAAGGCAGCUGUCUAAGCCGUUAUUGACGCUGAUGCACGAAAGCGUGGGGAUCGAACAGGAUUAGAUACCC
rnacentral:rRNA from 1 species